UACGGAGGGUGCGAACGUUAAUCGGAAUCACUGGGCGUAAAGCGCGCGUAGGCGGUUCGUUAAGUGGGAUGUGAAAUCCCCGGGCUUAACCUGGGAAUUGCAUUUCAAACUGGCCGACUAGAGUACGGUAGAGGGAGGUAGAAUUUCCUGUGUAGCAGUGAAAUGCGUAGAUAUAGGAAGGAAUACCAGUGGCGAAGGCGGCCUCCUGGAUCGAUACUGACGCUGAGGCGCGAAAGCGUGGGGAGCAAACAGG
rnacentral:rRNA from 1 species